GGCGAACGGGUGAGUAACACGUGGGUAAUCUGCCCUGCACUUUGGGAUAAGCCUGGUAAACUGGGUCUAAUACUGGAUAUGACCUUUCUCCUUAUGGGGUUUGGUGGAAAGUUUUUCAGUGUAGGAUGAGCCCGCGGCCUAUCAGCUUGUUGGUGGGGUGAUGGCCUACCAAGGCGACGACGGGUAGCCGGCCUGAGAGGGUGAUCGGCCACAUUGGGACUGAGAUACGGCCCAG
rnacentral:rRNA from 1 species